rnacentral:ncRNA from 1 species
AAGGUUUGCUAUAGACGCAAUGAAAAGGGAACGAAGUGAGAAUCUUCGACUGUCUCGCAGCUGUAAGCUCCCUCUAUGUCGUCAAGCGGUUACGCCACUGUAAGUUCAGCAAUGCUUAUGGGAAGGUGUUUGACGAUGGAGCAAAGUCAGAAGACCUGCCUUGUGGCAA